CCUACGGGUGGCAGCAGUGAGGAAUAUUGGUCAAUGGGCGCGAGCCUGAACCAGCAAAGUAGCGUGAAGGAUGACUGCCCUACGGGUUGUAAACUUCUUUUUUAAAGGAAUAGAGUGAGGCGCGCGUGCCUUUUUGUAUGUACUUUAUGACUAAGGAGCGGCUAACGCAGUGCCAGCAGCCGCGGUAAUACGGAGGAUCCGAGCGUUAUCCGGAUUUGUUGGGUUGAAAGGGAGCGUAGAGGGGUUGUUAAGUCAGUUGUGAAAGUUUGCGGCUCAACCGUAAAAUUGCAAUUGAUACUGGCAGUCUUGAGUACAGUUGAGGUAGGCGGAAUUCGUGGUGUAGCGGUGAAAUGCUUAGAUAUCACGAAGAACUCCGAUUGCGAAGGCAGCUUACUAAACUGCCACUGACAUUGAUGCUCGAAAGUGUGGGUAUCAAACAGGAUUGGAUACCCCAGUAGUC
rnacentral:rRNA from 1 species